rnacentral:miRNA from 2 species
UUUUGCAGUAUGUUCCUGAAUA